GACUGGUUUUGACUGCCGAGGUGGUAGCAGCCGGAAACAACAAGAGCUACGCCUCUCAGCUCCACCAGUUUCUUCUCUGAUUGGAGUUUCAGCACUUCCAGGAGGAUGGAGCUCUUUCUCUCUGAGAGCUUUAUGAUCCAGACUGCAGCAGCUGACUGGAAAACUGACUGUAAUGAUGGAAGGAGACUCAGACCUGUUUUAGUCUCACAGUCCUUCAGAUUCCCAAAGAACCUGAUUCCUUCAGAACGAUCUGACCACAGAGGAACACUGAAAUAAUAAAAGGAAACAUUUUGUGAUGAUUUGAUCUCAGCUGCAUAAAUACAACAACACAC